UCGGAACGUCCGCUGGGCGUUCGCGGACGAGGGAGCUGUACCCGCAUCACGACAAGACGGCCAUG
rnacentral:ncRNA from 1 species